rnacentral:lncRNA from 1 species
CAGUAUGGCGCUGGAGAGGAACCCCUCCACAGACAACCUCAGUCCUGUCUCGUCCCAUCGCCGCGGCCUGGGGGAGACUGCUUUCUGAUGCGGGAGGAGUCGCUGCCAUUCCUGAUAUCCCUCUGCAACCGGAGGCCUGACGGUGGAGCCCACUCCCACCAACUGGAGCCCCCCCACCUCCCCCCGUGCAAAAUCCUACACAGACAGAAAUCAAACGGUGUUUUUGGAGUCUCUGGCAUGGUCAGGGCACUUGGCUAGGACUGCCGAGUGAUGUUUCCGGGAAACAAUCGAGCAUGGACUGAUAGUCCCUGCAAUUUCACAAGAUGCCAUUGAGUCUUAUUGGAGCCACGCUGAAGUUUGAAGUGGAAUUAGGAAUUCAGCCGGCAGAGGGCAGGGCUGCAUUCGUUCCCAGUGCAAGCCGUGUUUCCCCGUAAGAGGAAUCAGUUUUGCUGAAGCUGAAACUUAGACAAUUUAUGAACAACAGAAGCCAUUUCCAAACCUGCCAACCUCAUUCUUAUAGGUUUUUUUGGGUCGAAUGUCCUUCCUUCAGAAGUUCAGCCGCCUCAGAGAAGCUGCAUACAUCAAAACACAAAUGGAGUGGGGCUUCACUACAAGCAGG